rnacentral:rRNA from 1 species
GAUGAACGCUGGCGGCGUGCUUAACACAUGCAAGUCGAACGGUGAAGCAGGAGCUUGCUCCUGUGGAUCAGUGGCGAACGGGUGAGUAACACGUGAGCAACCUACCCUUGACUCCGGGAUAACAGUUGGAAACAGCUGCUAAUACCGGAUACGACCUCCGCAGGCAUCUGCAGAGGUGGAAAGCUCCGACGGUCAAGGAUGGGCUCGCGGCCUAUCAGCUUGUUGGUGAGGUAACGGCUCACCAAGGCGACGACGGGUAGCCGGCCUGAGAGGGCGACCGGCCACACUGGGACUGAGAUACGGCCCAGACUCCUACGGGAGGCAGCAGUGGGGAAUAUUGCACAAUGGGCGAAAGCCUGAUGCAGCAACGCCGCGUGCGGGAUGACGGCCUUCGGGUUGUAAACCGCUUUCAGCAGGGACGAAGUGAAAAUGACGGUACCUGCAGAAGAAGCACCGGCUAACUACGUGCCAGCCGCCGCGGUAACAC